rnacentral:rRNA from 1 species
AGAGUUUGAUCCUGGCUCAGAACGAACGCUGGCGGCGCGCUUAACACAUGCAAGUCGAACGCCCUGGGGCAACUCAGGGAGUGGCGGACGGGUGCGUAACACGUGGGUAAUCUGCCCUGGAGAGUGGGAUAACUCGCCGAAAGGCGAGCUAAUACCGCAUGAGCCCACGGGGACUUCGGUCCUUGAGGGAAAAGGUCGCA